CUCCGGGGCUGGGAUGAGGGAGGAGAAAGGAUCCGGUCAAAAUAGCCUGCUCUUUAGAGAGAGAGGGCGCGCGAGAGAGCCAGCCAUUCCCUGCUGGCAAGUUCUCCAUUCCCCGCGGCUUGCAAGGUGCGCACCUGCGCUUCCCGGGCAGGCAAAUGACUACAUAUUGAACCAUAAUAUACCACGUGACCAGCAGUGCCUUUUCAUCUUGACAGUGACAGUGGAUCCUCAUUGGAUAGUCUGCAAUUCCAAACAGUACCGCAGGCUUCUCCAAGCCCGGAUUCAGUGGCAAGUCUGGAAUGCAAUCAGCCUAGUUUAGAAAUUCAUUAUCCAAAGUGAGGAGCCCGGCGAAUAUUAUAGUUUCAUAAAUAUGCAGAUUUUGUUUAUUUAAACAUUUUUUUAUUACACUUUGUGUUUUCCUAAAUUGGGUCAUCAUUUUAAUAUAAUUGGAAUCUGAUGUGUGUCCUGUUUUCCUUAAAAGCCAUCUGGUUCAUUUUCAACGUUCAGAAACCAAAUUAUUUGCAGUAAUAUUGGGCCUUGCUCAUUGCUCCUGUUGAACCACCUCAUGGUUUUGGGGUGCCGGACCAAGGAAGCCCAAGGCCAUAUUGAGAGGGACAGCCUCUCCUGGGCCACUACGAUGAGAGCCGUGGCGUGAAACCCCGUGGUGGGCCCGAGCAAGCAGCAUUCGGCUGAAGAAACUAAGUAAGCAGGGUCCACCGAGCAUCGUCUUGGAUAGAGGGCAAGUGACUAACAAUUAUCAACCAGUGAGAUUCAGAACAUAAAAUGUACUUAGUACCUUCUGUUCUCACCAGAUCACGAGCUCCCUGAGGGCAGGAGUCUUAUGUUCUAUCUUUCCAAAGAUGAGAUGCCUAAUAGCUGCUGAAGAUGUGUUUGUGGAUUGAGGGGGAUUCCAGAACCCCAAAUUACAAAAAAAAAAAAAAAAGGUAGUGUGCGGCAUAGUUAUCCAUUGCUGCAUAACAAAUUACUCCAAAGCUUAGUGACUGAAGCAAUGCUCAUUUAUUAUCCCAGAGUUCCAGUGAGACCAGGAAUCCAGACAUGGCUUAGCUGGGUCCCCUCCCACCAACGUAGAGUCUCUAUAAAAGUAGUCAAGGUGGGGCGCCUGGGGGACUCAGUGGUUGAGCAUCGGUCUUCAGCUCGGGUCAUGAUCCUGGGGUCCUGGGAUUGAGCCCCGCAUCAGGCUUCCUGCUCAGCGGGGAGUGUGUUUCUCCCUCUGCUCCUUCUCCAGCUCAUGCUCGUUCUCUCUCUCUCUCUCUCUAAUAAAUAAAACCUUAAAAAAAAAAAAAAGCA
rnacentral:lncRNA from 12 species